rnacentral:rRNA from 1 species
CCCUUAGAUGUUCUGGGCUGCACGCGCGCUACACUGAAGCUAUCAACACGUUUUCCCUCCCUGAGAAGGGCGGGUAACCUUUUGAAUCAGCUUCGUGGUAGGGAUCGGGGCUUGCAAUUGUUCCCCGUGAACCAGGAAUUCCUAGUAGACGCGAGUCAUAAGCUCGCAUCGAUUAAGUCCCUGCCCUUUGUACACACCGCCCGUCGCUACUACCGAUUGAACGUUUUAGUGAGGCAUUUGGACCGACGCAUCUCAGUUUAACCGCUGGUUUGUGUUGGAAAGACUUCCAAACUUGAGCGUUUAGAGGAAGUAAAAGUCGCAACA